GACGAACGCUGGCGGCGUGCUUAACACAUGCAAGUCGAACGGAAAGGCCUGCUUUCCCUUGUGGAUUGCGGGUACUCGAGUGGCGAACGGGUGAGUAACACGUGAGUGAUCUGCCCCCAACUUGGGUAUAAGCCUGGGAAACUGGGUCUAAUUCCCGAUAGGACUGCAGGGUGGUGCCUGUGGUGGAAAACGAUUUUCUAGUGGUUGGGGAUGAGCUCGCGGCCUAUCAGCUUGUUGGUGGGGUAAUGGCCUACCAAGGCGGCGACGGGUAGCCGGCCUGGGAGGGUGGACGGCCACAUUGGGACUGGGAUACGGCCCGGACUCCUACGGGAGGCAGCAGUGGGGAAUAUUGCACAAUGGGCGGAAGCCUGAUGCAGCGACGCCGCGUGGGGGAUGACGGCCUUCGGGUUGUAAACUCCUUUCGACCGCGAGGAAGCCACCUGGUUGGAAGGGUGGUGACGGUAGUGGUAGAAGAAGCACCGGCUAACUACGUG
rnacentral:rRNA from 1 species